GACAGAGGAUGCAAGCGUUAUCCGGAAUGAUUGGGCGUAAAGCGUCUGUAGGUGGCUUUUUAAGUCCGCCGUCAAAUCCCAGGGCUCAACCCUGGACAGGCGGUGGAAACUACCAAGCUGGAGUACGGUAGGGGCAGAGGGAAUUUCCGGUGGAGCGGUGAAAUGCGCAGAUAUCGGGAGGAACACCAAUGGCGAAGGCAGCUCGCUGGGACGGUACUGACGCUGAGGCGCGAAAGCGUGGGGAGCAACAGG
rnacentral:rRNA from 1 species